rnacentral:tRNA from 1 species
GCGGGUGUCGUAUAAUGGCAAUACCUCAGCUUUCCAAGCUGAAGCUAGGGGUUCGAUUCCCCUCACCCGCUCCA